CACCCACAGCCACAACAUCCCCUACAGAAGUCCUGAAGGUCCAUCCCUUCACAAUGGACUGGAGCUGGGGAGCCCUCUUUCUGGUGGCAGUGGCUACAGGUGUCCACUCCCAGGUGCAACUGGUGCAGUCUGGGUCUGAGGUGAGGAGACCUGGUUCUUCAGUGAAGGUCUCCUGCAAGGCUUCUGGAUACACCUUUACAAGCUACUGGAUGAGCUGGGUCCGACAGGCCCCAGGACAGGCCCUUGAGUGGAUAGGGAUGGUCUAUCCUGGUGAUGGUGAUGCAAGGUACGCACAGAAGUUCCAGGGAAGAGCCACCAUUACUGCAGAAAAAUCCACAAACACAGCCUACAUGGAGCUGAAGAGCCUGAGAACUGAAGACACAGCCCUGUAUUACUGUGCAAGAGACACAGUGAGGGGAAGAAUGUCCAUGAGGAUCAAACCUGAGACCCAGGUGCAGGAGGAGACACUGGUUCCUGCAGAGAUUGAAAUAUGCAGCUGUGGAUCACUGAGCAAAGUCCUGCCAGCACAGCUCCUAAUCAUGGACUGGUGUUGGAGAGCCAUCUUCUUGGUGGCAGUGGCUACAGGUGUCCACUCUGAGGUGCAGCUGGAGCACUCAGAGGUUGAUGUGUGGAAGCCUGGAGCCUCAUUGAAGGUCUCCUGUAAGGCUUCUGGAUACACCUUCACUAGCUAUGUUAUGCACUAG